ACACUAUCCAUACUGAAGAUACUUUUUUUCUUCUUGUCUAUACCAGUGUGCGGUGUUGUUGUGCAUUGCUAAAUAGCUACCUUGCUUCAGUUCUGAGGUAUAUGCAUUUUAGUGGUGGAUGGUCCCGAAAACGCUCCUUCCUCAUUUUGAAGUAAUGCAGUCACUACUGCUCAUCCAAGAGAACAGCUGAGGUUGUCAUGGUCCAGACCCAAAAGCAGCACUGUAUGUGGUGAACAUCAUCAAAUAUUGCCUGGAUCCAACAACUCCAGAGGUGGGAGGUAUACAGCUGUUGCAGCAAUAAUUCCAAGAGCUGCUGGUCUUGCUCUCUGGCUGUCCAUUGGUCCUGCUAGAACACUCUCCACUGCCCUAUUGCAGCUGCCUCAAUCACCAUGCAACUCUUCAAAGACUGGAGCAAAUUCUUUUCUUUCUGAGCAAAGAGCAAGAACUGACCAUGCAUGCUGACCUCCAUUUUCAGGAAAGGACUGGGAAAUAGCACUGGUUCCUGCAGGCUUCUGGGAUUUUCCAAGGGAUUUAAGAAUCAACAUCUCCUACAAAGUCUAUGCUGGGAAAAAUGCUGAAGGAAAGGAAAAUAAUGUCAGCUGAUGGUGUCAUCCCUCAUGGAAAACAUUCUGAGGAGGACAGCACAAUAAAACUUGGGAGUGAAGGUGUCACUUCUGUGUUUAAAUGGCUGUGAACUGAAACAGAGAUAAUAUUUGGAUUUGGGAUACAAUACCAAGAUCUGUCCCUGGCUUUCUUCACAUGGGUUCCUAGAUGGUGACUCCAUGACUUAGAAAGAGUAGAUUUCUCAUCUCAUCCACCUGACGCUACACCUUUUAAUUCUUUCCACCAUCCCAGAACUCAAAAGGUAACCUAUCUGACACCUCCCACCCUCUGUCAUGCCCCGAGAACCAGACUCUCUUUUUUUCCUCCCCAAAGCUGAUAGCAAGAGAAUAUCACCAUUUUUCAAAAGGAAGUGUUCCCCCCGCUCCUUUUCCUUCAUUAUGCAGCCUUUACUUCAAUGGGACUACUCACAUGCUUAAAUUACAUUGUAGAAUCAGGACCGUAACUAGGUAGCCUAUUUUAAAGCAUUGUUCCUCCUAAUAGCAUAUAUCAUUUUGUCUGGUCAGCUAUAAUUUCAUUGUUAGGGACUGCAUUUAAAAGUCUUCUCAUCAUUAUCUGUAGGUGGCAGAAUCUACAAUGUAACAUACUGUGCUGGAUCUGUCUAAGUCUCUUUUCCUCCUGAUUGUGGUAUAUGAGCCUCAAAAUCUGCUACAUUUUGUUGGACCUGCAGAUAUCGUUAGCAAAAUUUUAGCAAUUUCACCCAUCUAUCCAACAAGACAGAUUUAUAAGUAGAGAGCCAGCCAUCAAUUUGAGGAAAAUCUCUCCCACUUGGGAAUAGUAAUGACCCUCGUGUUCACAUAUUACUGUGCCUUGGGGUAUAAUACUUUUGCUUUCAAAAGUCCCUAUGUGGAAGGGACCAUCUCUGAGACAGAAAGAGUCUUUAUUCUGACUCAAAGUGGUUAAGUCAUCAUAUCACUAAUGGAACAAAAACAGCUAAGCAGGGACCUGCUCUGUUUUGUCACAAAAGUCAGGCACUGGCCAUACUGGUGGAGAUUAUCAUUAUCACAUAUUACUGAGCCAAGAAUAAUAGAAGUGUUCCAUUUUACAUCAUAUCUUGCUUUAAUAUAAGCAGUUCAAGUUUCUAUUUUGAUUAUUCUUUAAUUUAAUCUUUUAGUAGAAAGCUGGUAUUUAAGUAUACAUUGGACAAAAUAAUGUGAAUCACCUUUGUAACAAAUAAAACCAGGAAAUUCACUGUUACCUAUUAUGGAUGCCUAUUUACUUACUCAUGUUUUCUCUUGUUAAUGAAGUGUUGACUGAAUUACAACUGUUAUAUCAUGAAAGAUUGCCAUUUCUAACAAAGACCAAAAGAGGAAAUGAGUGCCAAAUUAAAAGUCUUUGUUUCAUA